rnacentral:rRNA from 1 species
ACGGCUCAGUAACACGUGGACAACCUGCCCUUAGGUUGGGUAUAAACCCGGGAAACUGGGUAUAAUACCCGAUAGGUCUCGAUUGCUGGAAUGCAUCGAGAUUUAAAGCUCCGGCGCCUAAGGAUGGGUCUGCGGCCUAUCAGGUAGUAGUGGGUGUAGCGUACCUACUAGCCUACGACGGGUACGGGUUGUGAGAGCAAGAGCCCGGAGAUGGAUUCUGAGACACGAAUCCAGGCCCUACGGGGUGCAGCAGGCGCGAAAACUUUACAAUGCUGGCAACAGCGAUAAGGGAACCUCGAGUGCCAGGUUACAAAUCUGGCUGUCGAGAUGCCUAAAAAGCAUUUCAUAGCAAGGGCCGGGCAAGACCGGUGCCAGCCGCCGCGGUAACACCGGCGGCUCGAGUGGUAACCGUUAUUAUUGGGUCUAAAGGGUCUGUAGCCGGCCGGAUAAGUCUCUUGAGAAAUCUGGCAGCUUAACUGUCAGGCUUUCAGGAGAUACUGUCUGGCUCGAGGCCGGGAGAGGUGAGAGGUACUUCAGGGGUAGGGGUGAAAUCUUGUAAUCCUUGAAGGACCACCAGUGGCGAAGGCGUCUCACCAGAACGGACCUGACGGCAAGGGACGAAAGCUAGGGGCACGAACCGGAUUAGAUACCCGGGUAGUCCUAGCCGUAAACGAUACUCGCUAGGUGUCGGCCACGGUGCGACCGUUGUCGGUGCCGUAGGGAAGCCGUGAAGCGAGCCACCUGGGAAGUACGGGCCGCAAGGCUGAAACUUAAAGGAAUUGGCGGGGGAGCAC